CAUUGAAUGGCUGAAGUGUAAGCACUGGUCUCUUAAACCACAUUAUAGUAAUCUAACAAAUACUUUCAAUG
rnacentral:tRNA from 1 species